AUGACCAGGUUGAUUUGCUUUGAUUUGCUGAGAGGGGCAAAAGACAGAUAGUGUGGAUAUCAGUUUACAGCCAGAAGAGCUGGAGGCUAAUAAAUGCAUUUUUGAGUUCAAUAAGAAUAUAAAAGCUAUUGAAAAAUAGUGUUGUUAACUCUACCUACAUUUUUGAUUUUUUUGGAAGGUAUGAGGAGGCAAGAGAAGAGGAGAGAAACUACGCAAUAAGCCAGAGGACUUCAGUGACAUGGUCGCCGAGGUAAUGAUUGAACUUAAGAUAUAUAACUGUUUUAAUACCAUUGAUAUGCACAGAUGCAAGAAGUACAUCAGAUAUGGAUCAUGCAAGCAUGACAAAAGUCAGGGGAAGUAUCAGUAAGGCAGAUCCAUGAUGAUGAUAGAUUCUGAUAAAAGGUUAGUGGAUUUACUUAGUUACAUAACAGCAGAUUUUGGUUGUAGUAGUUAUGUAACUUUCACAUUUACUUUUUCAUAU
rnacentral:lncRNA from 1 species